rnacentral:piRNA from 1 species
UGGGGAGAAAUGACGGUGUGGGCCAA